rnacentral:rRNA from 1 species
UACGUAGGGGGCAAGCGUUGUCCGGAUUUACUGGGCGUAAAGAGCGCGCAGGCGGUCGAUCAAGUCGCGUGGGAAAGCCCCCGGCUCAACUGGGGAGGGUCACGCGAUACUGAUCGACUCGAAGGCAGGAGAGGGUAGUGGAAUUCCCGGUGUAGUGGUGAAAUGCGUAGAUAUCGGGAGGAACACCAGUGGCGAAGGCGACUACCUGGCCUGUUCUUGACGCUGAGGCGCGAAAGCUAGGGGAGCAAACGGG